rnacentral:rRNA from 1 species
GUGCACGCUGGCGGUAGGCCUAACACAUGCAAGUCGAACGGCAGCACAGUAAGAGCUUGCUCUUACGGGUGGUGAGUGGCGGAAGGGUGAGGAAUACAUCGGAAUCUACUUUUUCGUGGGGGAUAACGUAGGGAAACUUACGCUAAUACCGCAUACGACCUACGGGUGAAAGCAGGGGAUCUUCGGACCUUGCGCGAUUGAAUGAGCCGAUGUCGGAUUAGCUAGUUGGCGGGGUAAAGGCCCACCAAGGCGACGAUCCGUAGCUGGUCUGAGAGGAUGAUCAGCCACACUGGAACUGAGACACGGUCCAGACUCCUACGGGAGGCAGCAGUGGGGAAUAUUGGACAAUGGGCGCAAGCCUGAUCCAGCCAUACCGCGUGGGUGAAGAAGGCCUUCGGGUUGUAAAGCCCUUUUGUUGGGAAAGAAAAGCAGCAGGUUAAUACCCCGCUGUUCUGACGGUACCCAAAGAAUAAGCACCGGCUAACUUCGUG